rnacentral:rRNA from 1 species
UGAACGCUGGCGGCGUGCUUAACACAUGCAAGUCGAACGGUGAAGCCAAGCUUGCUUGGUGGAUCAGUGGCGAACGGGUGAGUAACACGUGAGCAAUCUGCCCUUGACUCUGGGAUAAGCGCUGGAAACGGCGUCUAAUACUGGAUAUGAGCUGUGGCCGCAUGGUCGGCAGUUGGAAAGAAUUUCGGUCAAGGAUGAGCUCGCGGCCUAUCAGCUUGUUGGUGAGGUAAUGGCUCACCAAGGCGUCGACGGGUAGCCGGCCUGAGAGGGUGACCGGCCACACUGGGACUGAGACACGGCCCAGACUCCUACGGGAGGCAGCAGUGGGGAAUAUUGCACAAUGGGCGCAAGCCUGAUGCAGCAACGCCGCGUGAGGGACGACGGCCUUCGGGUUGUAAACCUCUUUUAGCAGGGAAGAAGCGAAAGUGACGGUACCUGCAGAAAAAGCACCGGCUAACUACGUGCCAGCAGCCGCGGUAAUACGUAGGGUGCAAGCGUUAUCCGGAAUUAUUGGGCGUAAAGAGCUCGUAGGCGGUUUGUCACGUCUGCUGUGAAAACUGGAGGCUCAACCUCCAGCCUGCAGUGGGUACGGGCAGACUAGAGUGCGGUAGGGGAGAUUGGAAUUCCUGGUGUAGCGGUGGAAUGCGCAGAUAUCAGGAGGAACACCGAUGGCGAAGGCAGAUCUCUGGGCCGUAACUGACGCUGAGGAGCGAAAGGGUGGGGAGCAAACAGGCUUAGAUACCCUGGUAGUCCACCCCGUAAA